CACGUAGGGGGCAAGCGUUGUCCGGAUUUAUUGGGCGUAAAGAGCUCGUAGGCGGCUUAGUAAGUCGGGUGUGAAACCUCCAGGCUCAACCUGGAGACGCCACCCGAUACUGCUGUGGCUAGAGUCCGGUAGGGGAGCGUGGAAUUCCUGGUGUAGCGGUGAAAUGCGCAGAUAUCAGGAGGAACACCAAUGGCGAAGGCAGCACUCUGGGACGUGACUGACGCUGAGACGCGAAAGCGUGGGGAGCAAACAGG
rnacentral:rRNA from 1 species